rnacentral:rRNA from 1 species
AUUAGAUUAAAAACCAAUGCCCUUCGGGGCUCUCUGGUGAUUCAUGAUAACUUCUCGAAUCGCAUGGCCUUGCGCCGGCGAUGGUUCAUUCAAAUUUCUUCCCUAUCAACUUUCGAUGUUUGGGUAUUGGCCAAACAUGGUUGCAACGGGUAACGGAGGGUUAGGGCUCGACCCCGGAGAAGGAGCCUGAGAAACGGCUACUACAUCCAAGGAAGGCAGCAGGCGCGCAAAUUACCCAAUCCCGACUCGGGGAGGUAGUGACAAUAAAUACUGAUACAGGGUUCUUUCGGAUCUUGUAAUUGGAAUGAGUACAAUUUAAAUCCCUUAACGAGGAACAAUUGGUGGGCAAGUCUGGUGCCAGCAGCCGCGGUAAUUCCAGCUCCAAUAGCGUAUAUUAAAGUUGUUGUGGUUAAAAAGCUCGUAGUUGAACCUUGGGCCUGGCUGGCCGGUCCGCCUCACCGCGUGUACUGGUCCGGCCGGGCCUUUCCCUCUGUGGAACCCUAUGCCCUUCACUGGG